UAAUCGGGAUUAGAUACCCCAGUAGUUUAAAGGUUCAGCUUUUGUACUCCUCCAACCUCCCUUUGCGAACAGUACAGGUAUGAUUAGUACGCCUUAAGUUAACUUUCAUUCGGGUGGUCGUGGUUUAUGUUAGUAGUGGAACAGGUGAUUUAAUUCGAUGUUGCGCGUUACAGUUUUCUACGAAGUUCCUAGAGUAACUUAAUUUAUUCUCGUCAACCCAGUAGUGCAUGGCUGUUUUAAAGGAAUGUUUUGAGUU
rnacentral:rRNA from 14 species